AGAGUUUGAUCAUGGCUCAGAUUGAACGCUGGCGGCAGGCUUAACACAUGCAAGUCGAGCGGAAACGAGAAUAGCUUGCUAUUCGGCGUCGAGCGGCGGACGGGUGAGUAAUGCUUGGGAAUAUGCCUUUGAGUGGGGGACAACAGUUGGAAACGACUGCUAAUACCGCAUAACGUCUACGGACCAAAGGGGGGGAUCUUCGGACCUCUCGCUCAUUGAUUAGCCCAAGUGAGAUUAGCUAGUUGGUAAGGUAAUGGCUUACCAAGGCGACGAUCUCUAGCUGGUUUGAGAGGAUGAUCAGCCACACUGGGACUGAGACACGGCCCAGACUCCUACGGGAGGCAGCAGUGGGGAAUAUUGCACAAUGGGCGAAAGCCUGAUGCAGCCAUGCCGCGUGUGUGAAGAAGGCCUUCGGGUUGUAAAGCACUUUCAGCGAGGAGGAAAGGAUGUUGUUUAAUACGCAACAUCUGUGACGUUACUCGCAGAAGAAGCACCGGCUAACUUCGUGCCAGCAGCCGCGGUAAUACGAGGGGUGCAAGCGUUAAUCGGAAUUACUGGGCGUAAAGCGUGCGUAGGUGGUUUGUUAAGCAAGAUGUGAAAGCCCCGGGCUCAACCUGGGAACUGCAUUUUGAACUGGCAAACUAGAGUAUUGUAGAGGGUAGUGGAAUUUCCAGUGUAGCGGUGAAAUGCGUAGAGAUUGGAAGGAACAUCAGUGGCGAAGGCGGCUACCUGGACAAAUACUGACACUGAGGCACGAAAGCGUGGGGAGCAAACAGGAUUAGAUACCCUGGUAGUCCACGCCGUAAACGAUGUCAACUAGCUGUCUGUGGACUUGAUCCGUGGGUAGCGGAGCUAACGCAUUAAGUUGACCGCCUGGGGAGUACGGCCGCAAGGUUAAAACUCAAAUGAAUUGACGGGGGCC
rnacentral:rRNA from 1 species